UACGUAGGGGGGCAAGCGUUGUCCGGAUUUAUUGGGCGUAAAGAGCGUGUAGGCGGCUAGGUAGGUCCGUUGUGAAAACUCGAGGCUCAACCUCGAGACGCCGGUGGAAACCAUCUAGCUAGAGUCCGGAAGAGGAGACUGGAAUUCCUGGUGUAGCGGUGAAAUGCGCAGAUAUCAGGAGGAACACCGGUGGCGAAGGCGGGUCUCUGGGCCGUAACUGACGCUGAGGAGCGAAAGCGUGGGGAGCGAACAGG
rnacentral:rRNA from 1 species